rnacentral:lncRNA from 1 species
AUCGUCAAGCUGUUGACGGUUGAGCAACCAAGUAUUGUAAUUGAUUUGUUAAUAAAUAAAAUAUAUUUGGCAUUUUCAUCAUAAGCUUUCAUCUUCUAAUGAACUCCGUUGUUAUGAUGAAGUCCUUAGGACUAUUUAGGUUCGAUAAAGAGAGAAUUUAUCGAUUAGUCCUUAAAACUGUUCACGACCAAAUGAUAGGCUGUUAAUAAGGACGACAGCUUCUAUCGAGCAUAGGUCGCUGUAGGCCAUAUGGGUUGGU